UCCCCUAAACCCCCCAAUCCUCCCUUUUCCUACUAGGAAGCAUCCUUCUCCCCCCCUCACCCCCCCCCCCAUUUGUAUGUGAGCAUGCGGGCAGGAGAUACUCUUUUGUUUCAACCUGACCUCUACCUCAUGGUGACCCUUUCUGGGGGGGUGGUGGGAGGAGGGGGGUAAGGGGGGAGUGGAGAAGGAAGAGAGGGUAAGGGGAGACUUUUGCAGACACAGCCCUUAUACAUCAAGGUGUGCGGUAAUCCCAGCACGCAAGGUUGCUUCUCCUUAACUCCUGCUUUCCUUUCUGCUCCUCCUGUCUGUUCCCUUUGCUCCUGCUUUCUCCUCUCUCUCUCUCUCUCUCUCUCUCUCUCUCUCUCUCUCUCUCUCUCUCUCUCUCUCUCUCUCUCUCUCUCUCUCUCUCUCUCUCUCUCUCUCUCUCUCUCUCUCUCUCUCUCUCUCUCUCUCUCUCUCUCUCUCUCUCCCCCCCCCCCCCUCUCAGUUGUAAGCUUUAAAGACCUCCCUCCCUUCUAAGUCUGCGCUGCAGCAGGAGGGCUGAGUGGUGGUGGUGUCUGAGGUUGCCUAUAGGAGGAAGCCGAUGGCUGCAGCAUCCAGCGCAUUAUUACCUUGCGAUGCCAUGACCCUCCUCCAUGCAUCCCUAACUCUUUAAAGCUGAUUCAGCUAGCGCUCUGGAGGCUCCCCUGCUGCAACAGAAUCUCCUUACUGGUAAACCACAACCGGCCUCAGCUGCUGCAGAGUUCAACCGGCUUUUUCCUAACACUGAAAGAAAAAAGGAAAGUCAAGACCUUCUCUCUCUGGGGCUCUUCUCUUUGGGAGGCAAAGGAAAUCCUGGACUUACUAGGUAAGAGCUUCUAUUUACAUUAUCUAGCUGCUUUCUUGGUACCCUCUCUCUCCUCCAUCCCAGUCACUUGCUGAAAGAAUCCUUUGUCUUUAACAGAAGAGUUUCCUAACCUCAGUAUGAGAAGGAGGCAGUUUGGUGUUGCUAAGUUGUUAACUGGACAUUGGAUUCCAGAUGGGCAAGCUCUAAGCUUUGCAGGAAAGGGGAAAGGACUUGUCUUUGUUUAUCCUUCUCUUUUUUCCCCCUAAGACCUCAUCUGGGGAACAGAAAGAAUUAUAAUUUUCUGGAGUUUAUGGGUCUUUUCUUCCAAACCUUUAUUUCGUAGUCUUUCAAUUGUUAAUGUGAGAGUGGGGUGGGGUGGGGUGGACAUGGAGAGAAUGCACUAUAUAGUUCAUGUGUAUAUUCUGUGCACUUAAAAGUUUCAGUGUGAAAUGUAUAUGUACUUUUCAGGGGGAAAUGAGUGAUUCUGUCAUAUUUCUUUUAUCAUUCUAUUAUGUGAAAAUUAGUUAGGAAAGGGGCAAACUGCUGGAUUUCUCAGACUUUCGUCAAAGGUAUCGCUUUCCUAUUUUCCAUGACUAUGUGUGUAUAUAGGGACACAGAGACACACAUAUAAAUAUCAGAAAAAAGAAAGUGAAAGAACAACUGUGGAUUAUUGGAGAUGAGUCAUAGGUAGAGAAAAGGAGUGUGUGUGUGUAUGUGUGUGUGUGUGUGUGUGUGUCUGUGUGUGUGUGUGUGUGUGUGUGUGUGUGAGGAGGCUUUGAGGAAGAUGUCAUGGAAAUGGGGCAGUACCAAGCCUCCACUAAGUACACAUGGGGUUUGAAUUUCAAAGCAGUGCUAUCUUCCUCUUCAAACAUAUUAAUGCCCAUAUUGAAAACUACCUGCUUGAGAAACAUACUACUUUAUAUGCCCAUAUGAACGUGCUAAGCUAUGGAAUGUAAAGAAGUAUGUAUUUCCGGUAGGGCAUCUCUCUCAUGGGAGCAGGGUGACCCGUGUUCAAGGGAGAAAGAGGCAGACAGAUUUUGUUUUUGGAAUGCCUGACAUGGCAGACUGACUGGGGAGUCAAUUGAUGAUCGUGUUCCAGUGGCUGUAUUGUUCUGUCACUUUGCCUGUGUCAGCAGGUGGAAAUGCUCAUCAGGACAUUAAAUAUUCAACGUGCUGACUGCGGCAGGCGCUUGGAAAGGCAACACCAGAAGAAAGCCCGUUGUCCGAUUCUGGUGUUUGCAGGGGCCCAGGUCAAGUGUAAGAUCUUGGAGGUUUGCAGGUUACUGUGCCCUUCUCCCCCUCCCCCAUCUUUAGACUACAGGAGUCUAGACAUCCGCAGAGUGGUGGAGUGACUUCUGUAACCAGCGGGAUGAAAUGUAGAGUGUAGAGUUGAACAGAUAAGGGAAGAAAGAGUCAGAGAGAGAGGGGAGGGGGGGGUAAAUGAGGCUGCUAUAUCUUAUAUAUGUAGUUUCAAUUUCUUUACAAACUCAGAAUAUAUACUUGUGUCUUUCCCUCUUACAUUUUCAGACAUGAUCACUUUUCACCUUGGCAAAGAUACAAAUGAGUUGUGUACUAGCUUGAUGUCAUACUUACUGUGCACUAAAAGGAAGUGAUCAAGGAAUCUAACACUCAAAACCCACAGUCUCUAUCUAAGACUCAAUCAUAAUCUAUCUGUAUGCUAAUCACAGUACAAACCAUAGCUUUAACAGACUUUUAAGCAUCAUCAUUUUUUGCUUCUAUUUUUUUUUUAUAUCCAAUAGCCUGAGUAUCAAUAUCCUCUGGGUGAGGGAAUACUCAAGGCAUCUUGGAAGACUCUUAACCAACAUGCUAGUCACAGGAAUAUGAACUCCAGAAUCUUCAGAGCUUUUCAGGCUGAGGUUAUUCUAACUCUAAAACUAUCUCUAACACCCUCCACUCCAAAUGAAUUUCUACCUUCAUUUCCCCAGAUUAAACUCAGAUUGACUUUUUAUCUCCACCAACAAAAUAUAGGGAGACUUGCUGUUAUUGGACUCAACAAUUGUUUAGAAUGAUGUGAUAUAUAAAGUAACACCCUAUACUAGAUAUGAAAAUCCAUACCCAAUGCUGCCUACCUGUCUUGGAAUAUAGAUAGAGAGAGAGAUAGACAGACAGACAGACAGACAGACAGACAGACAGAUAGAUAGAUAGAUAGAUAGAUAGAUAGUUAGGCAAUAGAUAUAGAUGGAGAUAUAAAUGAGAGAGAGAGAGAGAGAGAGAGAGAGAGAGAGAGAGAGAGAGAGAGAGAGAAAGAGUAGGAUGGUGGGGAGAUCAAUUGACAUUCUCCCUGCCUUGGUGCUUAUCAUGGAAACAAAUCUGAAUUUUAUACUAUUGAUACCACAAUGCUGCAUCUGAAUUACCCAAGAAAUAAAGCCAAACUCAGGAUUGAAAUUUCUCUGAAGUGCCCCUUUUCCACCCAGUGGUCAGUCAUUACCUCUGUGUAAGUAAGAAGAGCUUAACUGAGAGGCAGAAUUCCUGGAAGAGAGACAUAGAAAAGACCUUGCUAAGGGGACAAGGUUCUCUGGGGAGAGAUGCACAAGCUGACCUGAACCUCAGGAGGAUUUUACAAUAUCUCAAUAGAACAUGGGGGAAUUUCUGUCAUUUCUUAUGGCCACAGAGGUACUGCUUUUGCAAGUCCUGGCUCCUGUAGGAAGAUGGUGUCCUUGGGUAUAUUGGGCACAGUGGGAUUUUAUCAGACUAGGAAAAGGUCAGCUAUUUCAGCCUGGGGGAUAUUUGUCUGGCAGUCACUAGGAUUUUCCCCCCACAUCAUAUGAUCUUUGCUCUUUGGAUCUAUCUUUGGCAUGUCUGGCUUUUGGAACCUGCAACAGGUGCAUCUGCCCUGCCUAGAGUUGGGAAGUUUCAACCAAAUACUGACUCCUAUACAUGGAAAUAGAUGGAGAGGGAGAAGGGAGAUCAGGAGGAUAGAGUCCUCCUCUUCCUGCUGAGACCCAUCUGGAUUGGGACUCAGCUAAGUUGUUGGCUGAGCAACACAUAAAAGGGGGUCAUGAGGACACUCCAUGCUGAAACUUAAGAUGCUUGACAUGCUAGCUCCAUGAUCCAUUAUGUAUUGCUCAUAGAAUGUCUUAUAUAGUACUUCAAAGAGCACAAACCACACACACACACACAUACACACACACACACACACACACACACACACAUAUAUAUAUAUCACAUAGCUUACAACAUACCUUACAUUUCCUACCUUUUAGAGCCUGACAUUUAUCACAUGUUGUACCACAUGUACUUUGUGGCAUAUUUCAUCUACCCCUUUGUAUAUGUCUUGUCCCAUAUAUAUAUAUAUAUAUGUAUAUGUGUGUGUGUGUGUGUGUGUGUGUGUGUCUGUAUAUGCAGGCAUUUUAUGCCACCUAGGUGAAAUUUAAUAGGGGGGAACGCAUCUGCUUUCUGGUCCCUCCGUAGGCAUGGGAGAGUUUGCAUCUAGUGGGUAUUUGUCCUAGGAAAUGGCAUUUCUGUCCCCAUUAGGGUAAGACUCCGGCCACAAUGAGUGGAAAUAGCAAGGCCACAGAAAUAGGAGGCCACAGAGAUUAGCUAACCAACCACAGAAAUGCCGCAGCCUCUUCCCUUCGAUAAGUCCCUGUUUUACAUUAAAGUUUUAUUGCAGGAUGUGGUGUUUAGAUAAAAGCAUUAGUGUUUUGAAAUUAGGUUUGACUGAGCAGUAAAACUAGAGAGUUCACAGGGAUAGUCACUGCCUUCUCUUUGUUAUAAAUCACCUCCAUUCUCUUGAUCUGCUGAAUUAAAAAUGAGAACAAUCCUUAGUCUUCUCGAUAUAAAACCAAAUUUCCUUUUCUUAACAUUUUUCCCCUACUUCCCUCUCCUACCUUGAGCUUUUGACUGCUCCCCACUGCUCUAGCUUUGGAAUUGGGGUUGAUUUACAAUAGGUAUCUAUAAUCCUAAUGCAAUUUUUAUCUCUCUCUCUUCCCAUCUCUCUCCCUUUCUACCUUUGGCAUUCCAAGGUAUGUGAAUCAAAUGGAGUAGUUAAUGGUGGGAAGUAACUAAGCUUGGAUCUAUUCUGAUGUAAGUGUUUUUUACAAUACUGGCUGGGCCUUUGGGCACUAUCUUUGUGACAUUUUGCCAGUUAAGCAUUUUAAUGUAGAAGAGAAGGAGAGAAACUGGUAGAAUGGGGACUUGUGUUAGGAUUGGCUUGCCAAAAUAAUGCACUUGAGUGACUGUGGUACAGUGAAAAUAGGACUGGAUUUGAAGUCAGAGGAUGUGAAUUCAAAGCAUGAAUCCACAAAUCACAGCCUCUCAGAGUCUUAGUUUCUCCCUUUACAAAAAAAGAAGGGGCUGGAUUGGGUGAUUUCCAUGACCUCAUCUAACUCUAAAUCUUCUAAGUCCAGAGUGGCUUGCAGGUUGGGGAGUAUGGCAACACACCUCAAUGGUUGUUUUCUGUUACUUUGCCACACCAGAAGGUUUUUAAGAAGGAAGAGGGAAGACUGUACAGUAGGACACUUGAAGUAUUUUUAAAACUUGCCUCCUUCUCAGGGUGAGGCUGAUCUGUCAACAUAUUCAAGUAAGGUCCUCCCAUCCGUGUGAUCAGUAUGAUCCUACCUUGUGUAGGAUUUUCCCUUGGCUUUCAUCUGCUUGUUUGUAUAGAAGGCAGCCCUGGAAAAGCAAGCAGUAUUCUUUAUUCUAAGUUCUCUGGAGCAUGUCCAAGCUGGUUCUAGAGAAUCCUGAGGGUGCACAAUGUGUCAGUAUUGCUGUUGAGACCAAUGGAGGGUUUAGUCUCUACUAUCCAACCAAACAGCCAACUGAUUGCACUUAAGUUCUAGGGGUGGAAAGAGUAGCUUUGAGAAUUGCAGAACUCGUAAAUUCAGCGGACCAAAUUAGUUAAAUUUUUCUAUUCUAUGGCUCACAAAAUCUAGUCAUUCUCAAAAUGAAUUUUCUGCAUGUGAGGGAAACCAGCACCGUGUCAGGAAUGAGGAUUGAGAAAGAGAGAGAGAGAGAGAGAGAGAGAGAGAGAGAGAGAGAGAGAGAGAGAGAGAGAGAGAGAGAGAGAGAGGAGAGAAAAGGGACCUGUGCAUAGAAGGGACAUCAGUCCCAUUAUUUUGUUUGUUUGUUUAUGUUGAUGACGAGUUAUUUUUUAUUUUCCCUCAGCCAGGUGGCCAAAUAAAUUUCACUACCUCCUUCUAAAGAAGGGGCUGUUUGCAAUUCCAGUUUAAUAGUGCAUUCAUCAAGAGCAAUAAAGCAUUUUAUUGCACAAGUAUUUCAAAGCGUGUGCUGCCCCUGGUAAAAGCAUUAGUAAAGGGGGGCUUCAGCAAUCUCAUUUAAAACUGUCGACCCAACGUGAAAAAUGUUGCGUUGAAGAAUAAACUGCUAUUAAGCAUGAUUAGAUUGACCUGCAGGACAGAUAUUUUAGCUGCUGCAGCAUGAGUCAAUCACAGUGAGCAUCGCUUGAAUUGCAAAUUUUUUAAAAAUGCCCUAAAUUUAAAAAUGGAGGAACCCAAGACUAUUUGGGACCCAGGAGUGACUUUAGGGUAGAUACUUACAAAGUAGAUUCAGAGGACUAAAGGUGGUGGAAGUGGAAGGGUAGGGAUUGGGGGUUGGGGGAUAGUGACUUAAUUGAUGCCACCUUAGCAUAAAUGAAAACUAUGUUCCUCAGACCAACCAAUCAAAAAAAAAAAAGAAAAAGAAUUGUGCUGAGUCAGCCUUGGACUGUGCACGUCCGAUUGCAGAAAGGGACUCAGCACUGCAGUGCAGCAUCUCAGCUUGCCUUUGACACCAGCCUGGCAGGGCAUUGCUCCCCUUGUGUUUCCCAGGGCUGGCUGAGGCCUAGAGACAGAGAAGUCCUCAGAAAGGGAGGCUGGGGGAGGAGGAAAGACAAAUACAGGUUUCUUCCAGGGACAUCCUUGCUUGCCUUGCUGUCUCUUGUGCUAAGUUAGUGUUGGGAAACUCCCGCUCUCUGGAUAAAUUGGCCAAGGCCAAGGGAUGGAAAUGAAAAUGAAAUGUGUGGGAAAAGAGGAGGAUGAGAAAGUGGAGGAAGAGGAAGAGGAGGAGGAGGGGGUGAGUGGCUGAGAGUUGCAUGGUUGUUUGCAGCAUUCAGCCUCUCCCAUCCCUUUCGCUGAAUCUUUUCUCUGCGUUUUGUUCUAGUAGGGUUUCCCUUUUGCUGCCUUUCCAUUCCGAGAGCUCCUUGGGAAUGGGUCAUGAGAAUGAAGUGAGGAAUCCAUCUACCCAACUCUCUUGCAUAGAACUCUGGACUUCCCCAAGGCUAUGUCCAGAGACAUGUCGGCCACUGCUGACUAGAGAUUAGUAAUGACAAAUUAGGCCAAAAUAUAGAAUUUCUCAUGUGUUAUUCUUAUGUGAAAGACUACCAUCUUCCCAAGUUGCAGACCUUCAUUGGGGAUGUUCAUUAUGAGGCUCAAAGCCUGGGGAUUUCUCUUUUGUGAAACUUACAGCGGAACAUCUGGGCUUGGUCGAAUGGACACCUUCAGGAUGAGGCCAGGACGGCCUGGUACAGAUGAUAAAUCUGAGACUUUGUCUCCAAGUGGAGGGCUUCUCUGACUCCCCUCCGCUUAUAAGGACAGACUACCACUUGUUGGGAGAGAUGACAAGCCAGAACAGAACUGGGUGGAGCUGGGGAGCUGCAGGAGCUGUGGGGAGAGUUUCCGUUUGGUGCAUUGACCACUCCUGCAGUGCGGGGCUGUGGAAGGCAGUAUGAGGCGAGGUGAAUGCGGAGCGGUGCUUCAAGGGCAAGCAAGGUAAAGGUGUGUGCUCUUCGAGAAAGGCUGGAGAGCCCCCAGCCAAAGUUAGCUAGAAGAGGCAGAAGUGACCAUCCACUCUGCAAAGCAAUUUUUCCCUUUGAGAUAGCAAUUGCUACAAGGCUCCCUUAAAUAUCUAUCUUCUUGGGUCCAUACUUGACUUAGGGUGGAAAUUCAGCCUCUACUUCACUUUUCAGAAAUAGUAGCAUUGUGCUAGGCUGUGGUUGGUGUGGGUCUGCAAGUUGGUUAUUUUAAUCCUCAUAUAUUGCCAUGAGGGCUUUCACUGAUGUCAAUAGGAACCAAAUAGAUGAAAUGUAUGCACAUAGUCUGGAGAAGUGUUCUGGUGGGUAAAGUUACUUGGACUAUCUGAAAAAGGGGUGAGUUUUAAGUGCGGACGAGAGUCAUUAGGAAGAAUGGGACCCAGAUCCGCAGGCCUGCCCUGCCAGAGAUUUUUCAGCCUCUUUUGGAACCUACAAAAAAUUAAGAGAAAAACAGAUACCUUGAUCAAAAAAAAAAAAAAGAUAUAGACUGCAUUCUAGAUUCUACAGGCAAAAACUUAACUGAGAAAGUUUGCUGCUUUGGAGACUUGUACCCAAUGUGUAAGCCAAAUUGCUUUCAUACUCAGUGGCUCUAUGUUCUUCUCAGAUACUGAGUUGAGACCACUUCCCUAAAGUUUCCCAGAAACUAGCCCUGGAAGUUUCUCUGCUUCAUUGUGGGAAGGCUACACCCCUGUGCAAGCAUAAUGGUGCUUGGGCCAGGAAGGAAAGUGUAAAACAGCUAUAGGGAUUGGGCAAGACAGAUUAGUCCAGGGCAUUUGGGGGGAGUAGGGGGAGUAGGUAAAUGUCAGCAGAACAGAACACUUACUGGCUGGAGGACUCAGUACUGAGAAAGUACUGGCUGAUCCCCUGAAUGAAUGAGGGGAGCCCUCAAGGUCAAUCGACAUACAAAACAGAUAUACUUUUUCCCUCUCCCCACUCCCCCACCUCUUUACCCCUGCUCCAAGGGGUCAUGUGCUGAGUAGCUCACCAUGCCCAGAUAUGGACAGUGUUAGAUAGCAUGCCAUCAUCAACUGUGAGGAUGCUUGCAAGGCCAAGAGGACCAUAAGACCGUUGAUAUAAAUAGUCUUCAUUCUCAGCUGUUCCAACUGGCCAAAUCUGACUCAGAUGACAUGGAGGCCAGGAAAAUUAUGUGAGGCCCUUUGUACUCAAGAUAGAAGUGCAAAAGGAUUAGAUCUGAGAACCUAUGACUUAUGGCAGGACCUGGGGGAGCUUCCUCUGUUCUUCCCCCUACUGGUUUGAUUCUAUCCUGUACUUCCCACAUGCCUCCUCUUCUUCCUACCAUCCCUUCACUCACCUUGUAUAAGCAAGGGAGAUAAUGGCAUUUCAACACAGGGGUGGCUCUAAGUGGAAGUCUGGUGCCCUAUUGGCAGCUCAGACCAAAGUCCUUCUUAAGGACAGGACAUAUAGCCAAUGUUGGCCCUUAUGGUUUAGGGUGCUGUUUCCCUCUAGUAUCUCUGACCUUGGCUCUAUUUAUCUUUGGAAGGACUCUGAAAAUAAAAAGGCCCAUGCUAAAUUGGACUAUACAUUGGGGAGGGCCUUAGAAAGGAAACAAUAUAUGUAUAAUCUUUUAGACCUAGCUGCUAUAAUGGCAUUAUGAUAGAGCUGAUUUGGAGUUAGAAAGGGUGAGUUCAAACUCUGACUCUUAUACUUCCUAACUGUGUGACCUUGGAAAAAUCACCCAAUCUCUCUGAGCCUCAUCUGUGAAAUGGGAGUUUUUAUGUAUAAUAUAUGCAUAUAUACACACAAAUAUAGUAUAUGUAUUUAUAUGGAGGUACCUAGAUGGCUCAAUGGAUGGAGCACUGGUCCUGGAAGUCAGGAAAGCCUGCAUUCAAAUUUGGUCUCAGGUAUUCACAAGCUAUGUAAUCCUGGGCAAAUCACUUAAUAUUUACUUGCCUCAAUCCACUGGAGAAAGAAAUGACAAAUCACUCCAGUGCCAAGACAAUCUUGCCAAGAAAAUCCCAUGGACAGUUUUGGUGUGUUAUGGUCCACAGAGUCACUAAAAGUCAGACAUGACUGAAUAACAACAUUUGUAGUUAAAUGUAUAGGGGUAUGUGUAUAAAUAUAUUUAUAUAUAUAGUACAUACACACACAUACACACACACACAUAUAUAUAUACAAGGCAUAUGUAUGUACAUAUACAUGCACACACUAUUUCUCUCAUAGGACUUUUCUCCUUGAGUCUGCCCAUUCAAUACCUUUCCUCCUUUGUCUUCUUCUCUCAUCUUGCCUUGAUAUUAUUAUUUACUUAGGAAUUUGAUAUCUAUAGCCUAACCUCUUGUACCAUAUCUCAAGUCCCUUCUGAGGGGAUCUAAUGAGGGCUAUCCUCUCUGUCUCUCCAGACUUCACACUCAUCCUCUUUUUCACCAAAAAGUAUUCUUCCUGUAAUCUCUUAGAACCCCAUCUCCAAGGACUUUGGAAUAGAUUAAUUCACAUUUAAGUACUAAUGAUUGAAAAGUAGCUCAGGGGAUAGAGUACUGUCUCUGAAGUUAGGAAGUCAUCAGUUCAAAUCUGGCCUCCAAUAUAUAUGAUCUGUGGGCAAGUAAUGUAAGAUGCUAUAGAAAUGUUAGAUGUUAUUAUUACAUCUUAUAGGAUUAUUUGCAUUUUAACAGUACAAAAACUUGAUCCAGGAAAUGAAGCUCUAUUGGUAGGAUGUCAGCAACUAAAUUUAGGAGGAUUUCAAAGACAAGGGUUUCUAAGUGCCUCUCAAAUUAUAGGGAUGGCACCUAUUUCGUCUAUGCAUAAAACUGGCCCUAAAAACAGAUGUAUCUUCUAAUCUGCCACUUGAUUCCUACAAAACAAUGAUAAAUAUGGAGGUCUGAUUUGUUCUAGGAUUAAUGAACAAAAAUCUAUUGCAUUAUUUAAAAACACACAUAUAAAUAAACCUAUUGAUCAGCUCUGUUGGUUUUAGUUGUGAAUUAAUUUAUGUAGCACUGGGUCCCAGUGUUGCUGCUCUGUGAGUAGCUAUAAUUUGUGCUAAUUUAUCUUCUUCCAUGAUCAUAGCGUACAUAUCUAUGGUUCUUUAAGAUUUACAAAAUGCUUUCUCUCACAACAACCGUUAGAGGCGAGUUGGAGACAAGCAUUAUUUCCCUCAUCUUCUAAAGGAGGAAACUGACUCAGUCAGAUUAAAUGACUUGCUCAUGGAGCUAAUGAGUGUCAGAGUCAGGAUUUGAAGUUGGUAGUCUCCUAACCCCAAGAGCUCUUUCCCUGUGUACCUGGCUGCUUCUUAUUGCCUCUGAAGUAACAGUUUUCAAUGAGGAAACUUAAGGGAACAUGAAUCUCAGGCUUCCUUCAUGGGAUAGAGUCAGUAGAAAGGAUCAUUGGAUUUAGAACGGGAAGAGACUUUAGAGAUCACUUUGCCACUGCCUUUUAUCUUUUUGGCUGAGAUCAAGUGCAGAAAUAAAAACAAACUACCCACUGAUACCUCCAUAAACAAGUAUAAAAUCGACCCUGUUUGGUUUGCAUUUACCAGGGGACUUUCAUAAGUCUGUGAAGAGUGGGGAGGUGAGGUAUCCUUUAGGUUAGAAAUGGCAUUUUCUUAUCUCAGAAUGUAUUUGCCAUUAAUUUAAUCCCCUAGGUUCCACACUCCCCUUUUUCUUUAGGGGCAUAGGGUUCUUGGAUGCACUUAUAAGCUGAACAUCUUUCUUUCUUUAAAUGAAAGCAGCUUUACCGUUGGCCCUAUCUUUGAGGUAAUAAGACACAAAAAUCUAUCUUGCCUUUUUUUUGCAAAGAACAGCAAAACUGGCCUCUACCACCUCCCUCCUCCCUGUCCUCCACACUCAUUUGGUCUAUUUGAAGCCGAAUUUAUUUCUAGGAAGGGCCCCAUCAAUUUGCUUUGCUCUUUUGUUGACAAGUUUAUUAAAAACCCAGGCAACUCUGUAUUAAACUUUUAUCAGUGUUGAGAAAUAAUACAUUCUUUGAAUAGACAGAAAAGUUAUGGAUUGACUCUGAGCCUUUCUUGUUCAGGGUUUGGCUGAGUCAGCAGGACAAAGAGAAGCAACUCUGAUUUGGGAGUGGCUUUCCUUCCUCCCCUCUUCACUUAAGGCCUUUCCAAAGACCUCUUGAGGAACCAAAAUAACAAUGACCCCCAAAGGUGCAACAAUGAUGGGGUUAGGGGUAUGACAUGUGCAAAACUAUCAUUUUCUAGGAGGUUCCUAGAUGACCCACAGAAGUCAAGAGCCAUGAUUCUUUGCUAUUAAUUUUAAUAAUUAACUGAAAUCUGGAAUUAAAAAUUAAUUUUGUAGUUACUGAGUGAAAUAUAGGUGAAAUGUUGCCAUAGAAUGUAACAUUGGGUCAUUUUUGUGUUAAAAAUUUUUUUUAAUAUCUUAGAAAAUUUUAAAAACAAAUGAAAUAUCCUUUGUUCUACCUGAUUUUUAAAAAAGCCAUGCUAAAGCUUCUUUUUAAUUAAAUCUUUUUUAAAAGCUUUGUUGUAUAGAAAAUUUGACUGUAGCAAAAUUGAAAUGAGUUAAAAGAAGAGAGUAUAGAAAAGAAUUCUCAGGAAAUUCUCUGAAGAUCAUUAUCUGAGACCUCUGGACUCUCUAGAAGACCUAGUUUUAGGUAAAUCUGAGCUAAAUUUCUAACUGCCCUGGAGGAUAGAGAUCUGAAUUAGUCUAGCAGGAAUGGCUGAAAAUUACUCCAAAUAGGGUGAGAUAUAAGGUAAUAGAUUUUAGAGCCAGAAGGAAUCAUUAAGGACAUUGUUCACUUCUCAUUUUAUGUAGAAGAAAACAGACACAAAGAGGUUAAGUAACUUUUUCAGGAUCACAGUUGCUGGUAUCUCAGGUGGAAUUUGAACAAAGGUCUUUCUGGCUCUAACUCCUGCAAUGGCAUCAAGAAUUAUAAUGGGAAAAGGUUGUUUUGUUUUUCUAUUUAUUAUGAUCUGUACUUCAGAAGAAUAUAACUGCGGUGGAAAGGAUGAAAGAAUUAGGGAUGGGAGGAGGUUGUCAGGGAAAAAAACGAAAGGGCAACUCUUAAAACUUUUCAGUAUAUUCAGUGAAACAAUUGCCUGCUAAAUCUAAGUUCUCUGCUGAGUGCUAGACAUAAAAAUUAUGAAUACAAAACAAUCAGUGACCUCAAGUACCAAUACAGUCUAAGAGAGGGAAUAUAAUUUAUAUACAAAUAAUCAUAGUUUCUUGUUGUUGUUCAGUCAAGUCUGAUUCUUUAUGACCUCACUUGAGGUUUUCUUAGCAAAGAUAUUGGAAUGGUUUGCCAUUUCCUUUUUCAAUUCAUUUUACAGAUGAGGAAACUGAGGGGAAAAGGGUUAAGUGACUUGUCUAGGGUUACACAGCUAGUAAGUAUUUGAGGCCAGAUUUGAACUCCAGAAAAUGAAUCUUCCUAAUUCCAGGCCCAGAAUUCUUUCUAAAUCCUCCAGCUAGUUACCCUAAGUAUAUUUGAGGUUAAGGUAAAGAAGAGAUCCCAAGAAAUGGACCUGAGAAAGUAUGAAGACAGAGACCUCUCAUUCAUCUGAGGAUGGGAGAAUCAAAUAUAGCUUUUCUUAAAAUUUUUAAUUUAAUUUAAGCUUUUUUUUUUUAAGACUUGGUGUCCCUAUCUUGCCUAGAAUAGAAGUUCAGGAAGUGUUCACAAACCCAGUCCCACUCUGAUUAGCCCAGAAAGUCUACUUUUGGUAUAGGCCAGCAUUGGUGAAGAUGCACACAUGCAAAGCAGUCACUCAGGGAGCUGCUCUUUUCCCCUCUUCCCAGUGCCUGAUGACAUUUUUUUUUGCAUGCCCCACCCCUCUGUUCAGCCACCAAAUGCAAACACUUUCUCCUUCAACUCUUCCAGCUAAUCUGGGGUCUCACUGAAAGCUUGAAUUUGCCCUCUGGGCAUUGAACUGAGAAAAGGUUCAACUACAAUAGGUUCAUUCAACUUUCCUUAGGAAACUCCUACUUCCAUUGACUUGCCAUUUUAAUGUUGAACUUGGUGUGAUCAGCAUAGCCCACUGCAGGUCAGAACUCCCAUGCUCAACAGAUUCCAUCAGCCAUUGCCUCCAUGUUGGUCAAGAUGACAGGUGUAUGCCACCAUGAGCAGCUAGAGAAGAUUUUUUAGAGGAUCUGGUACUACCUGACUUGGGUUUUCAAAGGAGAGAUCAUAGGAUUAUAGAUUUCAAAUUUAAAGGAAUCUUAGAGUCUUUCAAGUCCAACUCUCUCAUUUUACAAAUGAGGAAUAGGGGUCAGGAAGGCUAAAUAACUUGUCUAGGGUCAUACAGUUAAUCAGAAGCUUAUGUAACUAAACAGAGAUAAAGAGGAAGUCCAUUCUAGGCAUGAGGAGCAGUCUAUACAAAUGCACAGAGGUUGGAGAGGGUAAGAUGAGCACUUGGAAAAACUAGUAUAUGUCGCCUGGAUUAUAGAAAAUGUUAAAGAAAAUGAUAUGACAAGAAAGGUUGGAGCCAGAUGGUACCAGGAGACUGAACUUUUAGGAGAGAGUCUGUAUUUUUUAAAAAAUAUGAAGUGGGAUUUUACUUAAGAUUUUGAGCAGAAAAAAAUGAGCUGAUCACAGGUAUGCAUUUGAAAACAUAAAAAGAGGUUGGGCAUGGUGGUGUAUACUGUCAAUUUUACUUCUGGGGAGACUGUGGUUGGGAGAUCUCUUGAGUCUAAGAGUUCUGAGCUUUGAUGAGCUUUGAUAGUUCAGCAUCAAUAUAGUUAACUGUCCAGAAGCAGGGAGCCACCUUGUUGAUUAAGGAAGGCUGAAGCAGCCCAGCUCAUAAAGAGAGUAGGUCAAGCUCCUAUACUGAUUGGUAGUGGGAUCUGGCCCAUGCAUCUGUAGCCCUAGAUCUUUCAGCUUGGGGAAAAUAGGGAGACCCAGUUUUAAAAAUAAAAAAAGCUAUAUGAAGAGAGACUUAUUAGAAGAGGCUGAUCAGAUAUUUCUUAUAUUUAUGGGCAAUAAAGUAAAAAUAAAAAAGAUAUAGGUAAAAAAUAAAUCAGGAAUAUGAGCAUAUGUAUGCAUGCCUGAGAGCAAGAGAUAUUGCAGUCAGACAUUAAUACAUGGAUUUUCUGAUUAUCAAGAUGACAGAAUGCUGAGAUGGGUGACCAAGGAUGGUGGAGGAAUUUCUGUCCCUGGAAAUCUUCAAAUAGGGAAUUGACAACCAUCUUUCCUGGAGAGUUUAGACUUUUACCUACCUAGAGGCAGGAGACUAAACCCCAGUCAGUGAUAUCUGAAAGCCUUUUCCCUCUUGAGAGGAAAAUACAUUUGGUAGACAAGCAGAGCAAGGCCUGAAAGAGUUUUUUUUUUUUUUAAGUUAAGUAUUUCUUUUCUUUCUCCACACACACUGAAAACAAAUGAAGAAAAAACCCUUGCAACAAAUAUGCAUAAUCAUGCACAACAAAUUCCCACAUUGAGGACAUCCAGAAAUGUGUGUCUCAGUCUGCAUAUUUAGUCUAUCACCUCUCUGUCAGGAGGUGGAUAGCAUUCUUCAUCUUCGGUCCUAAGGAACCAUGGUUGGUCAUUGCAAUGCUUUUUCUUAAGAGACUCUGUAGCAUAAUAGCAACAACAACAAUAACAGCCAGAAUUUAUGUAGUACUUUCAGGUUUUUAAAACACUAAAUAAAUGUAAUUUUAACCUCAUAGCAAUCCCAAGAGAUAAGCAGCAUUUUAUCCUCAUUUUACAGAGGAGGAAACUAAAGCAGGCAGAGGUUAAGUGACUUGUCCAGGGUCUCCCAACUAAGUGAAUGCCUUAGGCUAGAUUUGAACUCACGUCUUCCUGACACCAGUUCCAGUCCCCUUUCUGCUGUGCCCCCUAAUUAGUUGGCUGCUUUAGGGGAAAGAACAGGAAAAGAAUCCUGGCUCUACUAGUUUCCAAUUGUAUGACUCUUGGGUAGGUCCUAACCUUCUCUUUCCUUUAGUUUUUAUAUCUUUAAAAUGAAGGAGUUGAACUAAAUCAUCUUUUCCAACUCUAAAUUCUCUGAUCCUUUAAUGCUCUUUUCUUAGUGGGACUAGAGAUUGGGUGAAGAAAGCAACAGAGAGAAUUGGGGAUUAUGUGUAUAAGUCCUCUAGGCCAUUCCACUCCAUGUUGAGUGUGGACAUAAUAGUGCAUCCCAGGCAGCCUCUUAGCAGCCUUUGGUCACCCUUAUACUAGGUAUGAUCUCUCUCUCUCUCUCUCUGACUAUUUCAUCACAGGGGCUUAUAAUAUAGGAAGCCCUUUUACUCAGCAAUAAGUAUAAUAUUGCAAUGUUAUGUCUGCCUCCACCUGCCAUAUUUGAAUAUUUGACAGAGAAACUGGGAUUUUAGUCUUGGUUCUACCAUUCAAUCACUGUAAAACAUUUGGCAAUGCAUGUCUCUUGCCUAAGGCUCAGUUUCUCCAUCUGUAAAAGAAGGGGUUUGACUGAGAUCAUCUUUAAGCUUUCUUCUUGGGAACUAGGAAAUCUUGGAACAAGAGUAUAGUGCUCAAAUUUUCCCAAGUCAGCUCCAACUUUAAACAACCUCAGUAGCUGCUAACAGGCCCAAAGAGAGAUUGUAUUAAUAGAAAUCUCAUCUCAGAAAGCUAAAGAAAAUCAUAGGAUUAUACAUUUGGAGUAGGAAGGGAUCUUCCUAUUCUGAAUUCUGUUAUGUAAAGGAAUCUUGCAUUCUUGGGCAAGUAGCAUGAAAGGUGACCUUGAGUCAACUUUCUCAGGCAAAUUUAGUUGGAGAGUAGGAGAAACCCUAAACCUUGACACAUACACACACAUGCACAUGCACACACACAGAAGUUUCAGAACACAGGUAGAUAAUACAGGACACAUCUCUAUAGUGAAGAGAUAGAGAUCCAGGAAUUGAUCUCUGUGGGUAAUUUCAGGGAGGGGGGGAAUGUUGUCAAUAUUGGCAAGGGAACAAAGGCUGAGUAGGGAAGACCCCUCAUUGGGAUCAUCUAGACACUCUUCUUUUAACUAAUUAUAUAUAACUCAUUUCCUACUUUAACUAUUUUCUCUGUCAACCAACAUCGAGCCUAGUAAAGAGCAAAAAGGUUUGUCACCCUAUUAGACAAUAAGUGGUGGGUUUUGAGGGGUUGAUUUUUUUUGGCCACUGCAAUUCACAAAACUAUUCCCUAAAAGAUGGGAAGGCUGUGGCAUACAUUGGUGGAAGAAGUAUCUGUCCGCCCUGAUGAAAUCUUAGAUCCUUAAAAUUCUGAAGUAAAAUGACUCUGAAUACAGGUACUAAUUAGAGUCCUAUUCCCUGUGGCAGUAGAUAAGAAAAGGCAAUAAUACUAUUUAUUAUAGCUUCUAGAUAGUAUGAGUUGAUAAUAAAUGCACUGGAUUUGGAGUGGAAGCAGCUGAUUUUAAAUCAUAGCUCUACAGAAACUUAGUCAAGUCAAUUCAAAUUUCUGGACUUCAGUUUCCCUGUUUAUUAAAAUGACAGGCUUGCACAAGGUGAUCUUUAACAUCCCUUCUGCCUCUAAGUUUUUAUUCUAUAUUUUUCUUUAAUGUCCUGAGUUUUGAGUUCUGUUACUAACUGUGGCAAUAUAAGGAAGGAUACAGGGUUGAGUAGGGGAGGCAUCUCAAAUGGAUGAAUCCAUCCCUAUAGCACAGGGCAAUCUAGUAUGAGUGUGAAGAGACAUGGUUUCCAAAAGGAAUUCUGCUUCCUGACAAUGAUUAUUUGUGAUUGGUCUAGUAAAUGCUCUCUGAGUUGACUUUUCUUCUUUUAACAUCCAACAUGUAUUACUUCACUACCAACUCUGUGGAAGGCUUUAUGCUAGAUACUGGGAUGAGAGCUGUAACUGCGCCAGUAAGUGUGCCAACCUCUGGUGGGGUAAGAGAGAAGGAGUUUCAGUGUGGUAAGUGUCCAGGGCACCAGAAUUGAAGUUAGGAACAAAGGAGUCUGAAUCCAUCUUCAACGCUUACUGACUUAGGCAAGUCUUUUAAUAUUACUGAGCCUCAAUAUCCUUAUAUUUAAAAAAAGAAGAAAUUGGACUUGAUGAUUUCUAGGGUCCUUUCUCCAUCCAAAUUCAUGAUCUUGUGAUACAUUUUGUGAUACAAAUUUGUGAUACAAAUUGUUUAAUGAAUAGGUGGUGGACUUCAUUUUCCUUAUUCUCCACAGUGGUUUCAGAGAGAAUAAAGGCUUUAAAUAUCCUCAUAAAACCAAGGCGAACUAGCUUUAUACCUUGUGGCCUUCCACCAAUGCCGUGUCACAAAGGUGUGUCUGUCCAUGGGCUAUCUUUUGCUACGAGGAUGGGAUCCCUCUCUCAGCAUGCUGUUCCCCUUGGUUGGCACCUCCUUUCCCCUUUUCUCUGUAGGAGUGGGGUGAAGGGGGAGUGAGGUUGUAAUCAAUGAAAUGGAACUCAUUCAGGGUUAACUGCCCUCUUCAACUAAAUUCGCUUCAGGAAGAAUUUCCAGAGAGAUAGGGGAGAAAGAUAACUAAAACAUUGUAUCUUCCCUUAAGAAACUUAGCAGAGGAUGAUACAGUAACAGGUGGAAUAUGAUAUUUCACAAGGAUGACAUAUUAGAUAAAGUAUUAGAGCUGAAGUCAGAAGGACUUGCGCUCAUAUUUUGUCUCUGUAAUUUCCUACCUGUGUGAACAUGGGCGAGUCAGUUGACCUCUAUUAACUCAGUUUCUUGACCUUUAAAAUGGAGAUAUCUAUAUGAUCUAUCUCACAGGGUUGUUAGGAGCUUAAAUGAGGGAAUUCAUACCAUCUGCUUUGCAAUGUUUAAAGUGACACUGAAAUAAUGGUUGUUUUUGAAAGAAAGUUUUAAGGAAGUUUGGUAGAGGAAGGAACAAUUGGGAAAAAUCAAGGACAGCUUUAUGGAGUGGGUGAUGUUCAUGUCAGACUUAGUAGUAUGAAUAAGAUUUCAAAAGGCAAACGCAAACUAGAGUGAAUCCUAGACAAAGACCAAUAUAAACAAAAGCUGGAGUUGUAAAACUGGGCUAUGUAGGAGGAACUUCAAACAGUCAAUCCAGUUAGGUUCCAUAUAGGAAAGUGACUCACUCUUAAGGCUGGCUAGAAAGAUUGAGGCUGCUUGUGAAGUCUCUUGAAUGCCAGGCUUAGUAAGGAGUAUUCACUUCAUCUCAUAGGCAGUGGUGACCCAUUGAAAAGUUUUUUGAAAGAGGGAGACACAGGAUAGAAGCUGUGUGCUAGGAAGAUGCCUGUGACUAGAGUGGGUAGGAUAGAGUGGAGGGAAAUAGGUGGAGAGAAAGUAACUGAGGAUUGAGAUUACCCUAGAAUACCCAGAGGUUCUUGUAACAAAAGGAAAGAACAUGGAAUAAAUGUUCAUUGACUGACAGGUCGGGGGAACUGUUCAGUUUAGAAAGCCUGGUCAGAAUUAUGAUUCUUUUAAAAUACUGCUCAGAAAUGUCCCCAUUCCUUCCAAUUGCCCAGUUGACUCUUUUCUCCUGAUCCUCAAGCAAGUUCCCUGGAAUAAUUUGGCCAAUGUAUCAGAGGUAAGACAGAGACUUCAGCCCCUUAGCCUCUGGGCCCUGCAUGGAAGAAUCUGAAAGACUCCCCCUGUAACACCAUAAUCAGAUAACAGUUACCAUAUGUGUAUUAGCUGGCUCAUCAUUCAUGUUAUGAAUACAUCAGAGGAGAGGCCUGCCAACGCAGCCCCGUGCAGAAAACAGGCAGGGAGAAUUGUAGGCAAAUACAUCUUACUCCAAGAGUUUAUAUACAUCACCAUUUGCUCCAAUUAUAACUAAUUGGACACAUAUUGCAUUUUCAUAGCAUCUAAUUUUCUAUUGAUUUUAACAGGACUUCUGGUGUUUUGCAGCAUGAAGCAGGAUCUUGUAUCAGUUGCUGUUUAAAAAUGCUGAGUGUACCUCCCUGUAUGGGAUUAUUCAGUCAGCAGAUGUUUUAAAACCUAUUUAAUUGUUUGGUUCAUAAAAUGCACAAACUGUAUUAGUGAACGGCUUCAUUCUCUUUUAGUACCUUAGUUAAAAUGAGAGAGAGAGAGAGAGAGAGAGAGAGAGAGAGAGAGAGAGAGAGAGAGAGAGAGAGAGAGAUUGUUACAGUCGGGGGCUGGGAGAAAAGACUUUCCCCAGGAUACAAAUGUAGCUGCCUUUCAGAUGAAUGGUUUUUAAGAGUCUUUUCUUCUUGCCUGACCCGGCUACAUUGGCAAGAUCCUGAUGUUUGAAAUUUCCUGAGGAAGCUGACAAUGGAGAGAAGGCUUCAGCUACUAAUCUCCCUUUUCUCCCUUAAUGAGAGACAAAUUGCUUAAUGAAUAGGUGGUGGACUUCAUUUGCCUUAUUCUCCACAGUGGUUUCAGAGAGAAUACAGGCUUUAAAUAUCCCAUAAAACCAAGGCCAGGGGUCUAUUGCCAGCAGCACCCCAGCACAGCUGUCAGCCUCGAGUAGCCUCUUUUCUGCACAACAUCAAUGUCAAGGCUUGCAAAGAUGGGAGUAGGAGGAAUGAUAAGGAAUCGGGGAAAGGUGGCAUUUCAAAGAUGUAAUUUUAGCCUUGUGAAAUGUCAAAAGUUCAGGCCUGAGGGCUGCCUGUCCACAACCCAAAGUAGGGUGGGCCACUGUGUUCUCUGCUUUGAGAAUCCAAUCUGGGAACAGAGUUAAGAUAAUGUAGCUGAUGAGGAGCAUUGUGAGAAGUGGAGAGCAGGGAAGAAGAGAUAUAAACUCGUGUAUAUUCUUGGCCAGCUAGAACAGAAAAUAUAGGUAAGGUACAUGGAAUUGUGGAUUCCAAAGACUUUAUAGAAAGUAGACCUGAAAGGACAUGAACUUGACAAGCAGCAUGACUCAGCAGAAAGUGUUAGGAUUGGAAUCAGGGGAGCUGAAUUCAAAUACUUGUUCUACUUUUUUCCUGUUGUUGUCGUUCAGUCAAUUUCAGUUGUAUCCACCUCUUUGUGACCUCUUUUGGGGUUCUCAUGGUAAAAAUGCUAGAGUGGUUUGCCAUUUCCUUCUCUAGCUUAUUUUUAAAGGUAAAGAAACUGAGGCAGAGGGUUAAGUGACUUUUCCAGGGUCACACAGCUAGAAGGGUCUGAAGCCAGAUUUGAACUCAGAAAGAUGGGUCUGCUUUACACUAGGUCCAGCACUCUAUUCACUGUGCCACCUAGCUGCCCACUACACUCUGUAUAACCUUGGACAAGUCUUCAGGUCUCUCUAGGCCUCCAUUGUAUUAUAUGUAAAAUGAGGGAAUUAGACUUUAUGACUUCUCUGGGCUAUAUGAAAGCUCUAAAGCUAUGAUGCUGUGGUCACCGGUGUGGCUGGGCAAAGAAUGUAAGAAAUUUGUAGCCUUCUUUCAUCAGAGAGGAAGGUGAAGAAAAGGCUAAAAAGACACCACAGCAACCCUAAGAAGCCAGGAGGUCAUGGUGUUAUUAGACUGAUUUUGCAGAAGAGUACUCUGAGGUCUCAAGAGGAGAAAUGGCUUUGUCAGAGCUCAAUAAUUAGUAUGAGCCAAGUAUGGUCUACCAACUACAAAUCCAACAUCACACCAAGCUUAAUACUUGCCAACCUAAAUGGAAACAUGAUUUCAAGAACUAGAAUAAACAAGAAACAUCCUCCCUACUCAAUACUCUUAAUCCCAGUCAGAUUUUUGAAGGGACUGACAGGAUGAUAGGAGAAAGACACUAAGGAGACAGCCUCUGGCAUUUUGUCCAAUACAUGAAGCAAAUCAUGGAAGCUGCUUGAUAGGUUGAUUCAAAAUUCAAACCAUGGUCAUGUUCUGCAAAUGAGCAGGAAAUGGCUCUCCCCAUUCUCCAUCUGAACACACACACACACACACACACACACACACACACAACAAUACACAUUUGUUCAUUCAACAAACCUUUUCUGAGUACUGUUUACCUUCCAGGGUUGUUGUGAGGUUCAAAAGAAGUAGUAGAUAUAAAACUAAGGGAGGUGAGGAUAAAAAAUAAAUUCCUCCUUUUCCCCAAAAGGGACUUUUUAAAUAUUCGGUCUUGGGGGAAAAAUAUUUAAAACUGAAGAAAAAGGUGAACUAGGUACUGUCUGUGCCAUUAUGCAUUAAGUCUAGCAGAGGAAAUAAUGCAAGUAUACAAAGUUGUAUUAUAAACUAGGAUGUUAAAAAAGUGACAGAGAGGAAUAAUCAGUAUAGAAGAAAUUUAGAAAGGCAGCUAGGUGGUGCAGUGGAUCCUGGAUCUAGUAUAGGGUAUAUGUAUGAAAAUAAAUCUGCAGAAAUCAGAUUAAGGUUAGAUAGAUGGUAGAAGUGAAGUAGCUUCAACCUUUUCAAAUUUAAAAGAAAAAUCAGAACCCUAACCUCUGAAGGCAGCUAGGUGACUCUGGAUUGAGAGCCAGGCCUAGAGACAGAAGGUCUUAGGUUCAAAUAUGGCCUCAGACACUUCCUGACUGUGAGACCCUGGGCAAGUCACUUAACCCCCGUUACCUUGCCCAUUCUACUCUUCUGCCUUGGAACCAGAAACAAUAUUGAUUCUAAGAUGGAAGGUAAGGGUUUAAGAAAAAAAAAUAAUAAAAGGACCCUAACUUCAAGGAAAUUUGGUUUUUGAGGACUAGAAUUCCCUAUAGAACUUGGAGCACUAACUAGAAGUUACAAAAUGACAAACUUUAGCUUGAGGUCAGAGGGGGAAAAGUUUUAGUAAUUAAAGCUGUCCAAAAGUGGAAUGCACUGCGUAAAGAGGCAGUGUAUUGCCCCUUGCUGAAAGGCUUCUAGAUGACAAUUAAGAAAUUGCCUAAAAAUUAAGUAACUGUCCAGGUGACUUCAAGGACUAUUUAGCAGGCAAGGGGUAAUAAGGAUUCUUUUUUCAGUAAUGGCCACUGAAAUACCUUCCAACAAUGAAAGUGAGAUUCUGUGGUUUUGUUUUUGCCUUUUACAUUUUCCUUUUCUUUCUUCAAGUAAAUAAAACCAAGGCUUCCAUUUUCAAGAAAGGUAACCCUUUUAGCACAGACAACCCUGUUUAUGUAGGAGUUUUUUUUUUGUUUGUUUUUUGUUUUUUCUGUAGCAGUAAAAUUAAAAGCCGCACUAAAGAGCAAAUGAACAUUUAUUGAGCACCUAACAUGUUCUUUGUUGAAAAAUGUGCAAAGUACAAACAAGACUAGUCUCUAUUCUCAUAGAUCUUACAGUUUGGUGGAGACAUGAGAUGGUAACUCAUACAACUAACUGAGUAAAAGUGGGUCUGAAAAGAGGGGACAUGGGAAGGGCACAGAAAAUAAUUGGACAUUUUUAGCCAAUUUGGGGCCUCCAGUACUGAAGAAUUUGUUGGUAGAGAGGCCUAAUUUAUCUUGGCCACGAUAAUGAGAUAGUGCCUAUUCUCCACCCCCAACCCCCAUAAUUGAAACAAAUCGAUGACUCUGGGCACCAAAUGUGCAUUGGUUUGCUUUCAUUUAUUUAUUUAUUUAUCUUUUGGUUUCUAAAAAGCCUAGAAUGGGGGGAUGUAGGGCAGACCAGAGAUUGAUUCAAGCAUCAUCCCAGCAGCAGGCAGUGUCUAUCCAGAGAUCCAGGAAGAAAGAGCAUUUAGAUAAGAAAAUUGGACAGUACAUAAGAGAUUUUACUGUAUUACCAAAGGUCAUUUCAUUUUUGGGAAGUUCCUUUAGAUUUAGAGAUGUUUGGAUGGAAAUCAAAUAACACAUUAACUGUAAGGGAGGAGGGAGAGUCCUGAAGCUAAUUACUGAGGGAAUAUGCACUUCAUUAAGAUAAAGCUGGAGAAAAAUCAAUGUUGAGUAUGGCUGGGUUUUUGCCUUCUGAUUGGAUUUGAGAAUGACAAAUUGUGAAUGUGUCGACCCUAAAGAUGACUUAAAAAAAUUUAGAUAAAGACCAGCAGUCUCUUCUGUGUGGGAGGCCAUCAUGGCAUGCAGGGUAGGAGAGAAGCAUUGUGGCAAAAGCUUUGAUUUGGGCAGGGAGGGACUGAGCUGUGGUUCAAUAUGAGCUAAUUCUAUUGCAUGUCAAAUCUUCCGCUUCAUUAGGAAUAUUGACAAUUGGUGAUAAAUUCUUGAGCCUGACUGUGCUGUCUAUAACACAUCUUCAUUAGCAUAUCCAGAUAGAGUAGAAGGCCCUUGCAAGCUAGCGUAGGUCUGCACUGUAUCCUUCCACCCAGAUCUUGUCACUCAAUACUAAAACAGGAUAGGUAUGUUCUCAGAACCAGGAUUUUCAUUCACCCCGAUAGGAAGCAUCUUGAGAUCCUUUUUAAUGUAUAAAAUCUCCUACCCUGGAACUGUACAACUAUAUAGAACUAGAUAGUACUAUAUAGAGCCUGUCGAAUAGGAUUCCAAAUUGCAGAAUCACAGAAUGCUAGGGAGCAAAUGGAAUUUAGAGACUACUGGGACUAAUCUUCUCAUUUCGUAGUUUUAAGGAAUGAUUGUAUUGAACCCAAUUCCGACGUGUCUAGAUUCUGGAAUUUCAAAGGAUUACAUUUUAAGAUGGUCUGACUAGUCACUUUAGUACUGACUGCUAUGCCCUUCUCUCCCCUGUUCAAGGACAGCAUUAUAAGGGGUUCUAGUGUAUUCUAGCCAACAACACUAAUGUGUCAUGUGUUUGGCCAGAAGAAAUAGACAGUGUCUUCCCAACCUGACAGGGAGACUCAAUUCAUGUCCUUGGAGAGAUGACUUGGGAAAAAGAUGUAACACGCAAAGGUAAAGGAUUUAAGAGCCCUUAAAAACCAUCGCUGAAAAGUCCAGACUGAGCAUAAGCAUGAAGGAGAUAUAGCAUGAAGUUGUCACUUUCCAGGUGCUGGGAUAUAGCACAAGCUUCCUCAGGAUGGUGCAUCUUAGCAAAGUUUUGCCAAAAGGGUGGCAGAUUCUAGACAGAGAGCAGAAAAGGAGAGAGGAGGGCAUCUCAAAUAGUGGUAAUAACAUAAAGAAAGUCUUAAAGGUAGGAAUAGAAAAGCCUUGCUCAGCUUUGGGCUUACCAAGCUCUAAUAGAAAACCAAAAACAAAUCAGUGAUUGGCAUCUUGGUUUGUUGGAAAUAAUAUUAGAAUUAAAGUCAGGAGAAAUCCUAAUUUGAGUCUCACCUUUGCUCCCAGCUGUGUGACCACAAACAAGUUACUGAUCCUCUCUCAGCUCCAGUUUCCUCAAAGGCAAAAUCAAUCAACAAACAUAUAUUAAAUGUUUAUUGUGUUCCAGGCUUUGUGCUUGACAAUACCUAUAGUUAAGUGCCACCAUUCAGAAUUGUUGAGAUGAUUUAAUGAUGUAAAAAUGAAAUGUCAAGUACUUUGUGGACUUUAUAGGACAAUGUAAAUGGCUGCUGUUAUUAUUUGUUUGUAGUGGACAUUUGCUGGGCACUUGCUGAGCUUGGACUCCUUUGCUUGUCCCUCUGGGAACUACAGAAGAGUUAGACAUGAGCUGUUUCCUCAAGGAUCUCAGAGAUGUGAGUUGGGAUAAUAAGGCAUCAUUAUUAUAGGAAGAGUCUCUGAUAAUGGUACAAGAGAUGCUACAAGUCAGGAUAGGAAUGAGUAGUACAAUCCAGAAGUGUCAGAGUUUCAAAGAAAGGAGCAAUCCCCUUGGGCUGGAAUGAUCACGGAAGGCUUCUCAUAUGAGGUGAGACUGAACCUUGAAGGACAAAAAGGAUUUGGACAGGUGGAGAAGAGAAGGGGCAGAGAAGGAGAAGGUUUUGAUGGAAGAGUAAAUUCAAAGUCACCAGUAGUCUGGAAUAGAAAGAAUCUUGGUUUAUCCCUGUUUUUGUUGUUUUGUUUUGUUUUGUUUUGCCAGACCAGUUUUAGCCAUUCUUUAUAACACUCAUCAGUCAAGUUACUGUAAAAGAGGAGUAAUGCAAUCAGCUAUCUUCCUGGCUCCCAUUCUCCUCUCUGCUACAUAGAUCAAGGAAAUAUAUCCAGAAUGUUCUCUGUCAAGGGUUAAUCCCUUCUAGACCAAUGUGUGGGUGCGUGUGAUUCAACUCAUGUUAACCAGUUAGCCCAUUGUAUAUGUGGCUUGUAUACUCAGUUGUUCAGAGCUAAUGAGGCCAAAGUUAUGGAUAUGAACUCCUGACAACUCCCAUUUAUUCUGGGCUACACCCUUAAUGAUGGCCAAUCAUCUCACAAAUGUGUUCUCUUGGUCAGAGGAAAACUGAAUGAGAAUGUGGAUACUUUUAUGUAGACCAUACCCACUGCUGUUAUAUGACUCAAGAUAGAUACCCCCAAUGAUAGCAGUUUAUGGCAGCAUUUGGAAGUUGUGGGGGGGCGGGAGAGGGAAGGAAGGAAACUUCUCUAUGUGAUAAUUUAUCUUUACUUCAAAUGCAAAUCAAAUACAUGCUCUCUCUCUACCUUUACCUACUAAAAUGCCCUUGUUUUCUAAGGAGGCAUCAAGAGAAAUCUCUGUGAAUGGGGCAUCAUGUCUCCACUGCGGCCAAAGUCUUUUCCCACCAAAACAUCAUUAUUUUUGAUGAAUGGCACAUUGGGUAGGAAAACUAAUUUUCUAAAAAGGAAAUCUCUUACUCUGACUCAGUGCAGCUCAUUUAAACGAAUGUGACCCUCACCCCACCCCCUCCCAAGUCCACAUUGAUUUCAAAUAUUUUAUGCAGACACUUCUAAGAGCCAAGUUUGCAAUCUUUCAGCUUUCUCUCUCUCUUUGUCCUAAACUCAGGGUUAUGCUUUAACUCCUCAGUUUCCAGAAAGCUUGUCAUUGAGGAGAAUUAGAAUGCCUCAUGAGCAAGCAGUCAUAUUUUGACAUUGAUAGAGCCUGAACUAGAGAACUAAGAUCUCCUCCCUUUCCAGUUCAAAAUAUGUCCUUGAAAUGUCCCCUGAUGAUCUGGUAAGGUCAUUUCUGUAACUAUUCCUCCCAAUUUUCUCUCCUUGUUUAUUUCUGUCUCUCUUUCUCUGUAUGUGUGUGUGUGUGUCUCUCUCUCUGCCUCUCUCUUGCUUUCUCUCUGUCUGACUGUCUCUCUGUUUCCCAUUCUUCAUGGAGUGCCCAGUAUGUUAUGGAACAAUGGCCUCUGCUGGUGGUGUGUUUUAGAAGAUAAGAGUGAUGGAGUGGGAGCUCUCAAUCACCCUUUCUGGCCUGUACCACACACAGCCUGGCAGAGAACAGUAUGUCCUCCUGCAGUGGCUGUCCUGCAUUUCAAUUAUUUUAAAAGCUAUUUCUCCUCCUUGUCUAUAUUCCUGAUAUGCAGGUGAAUUGGUGCUUGAAGAAACACUUCUUACACUUUGUGCCUUAUCAUUCUAACUUUAAUUGUCUUUGGUAGGAACCUAGUUACUCCUCCCCCCCCAAUAAUAUCUAUUAGCAUUUCAAUAGCACUUUAUGAUUUCCAAAGUACUUUCUAGUAACAAGCACUGUAAAGGAGGUAGUACAAGUGUCAUUAUUCCUAUUUUGUAGAUGAGGAGAUAGAAGUCCAGAGAGAUUGUAACUGUUCAUAGUCAUAUAACUAGCAAGUAUCCAAGGCAGAAUUCAGGGUUCUCUCCCUGACUCUAAGUUGGACAUAAUUUCCACUAUCUACACUAUACUAUUCUCCCUCAAAUCCCAAUUCUAACCAGGUAUCAAUGAUCCUGAGGUUUUUUGGUAAGUACAUAUGGCAUCUUCCAAAAGCCUAAUCAACUAAGAAACUCCUCCAAAUAGGGUGCUAACAAUUUUUUUUAAUCUCCCCUGCAAACCAUAUGAAAGCUUAGUGAGCCUGCCACAUGGUAAUAUCAAGGAAGGGGUGAUGGAAAGAGAUUAGAACUAAUUGCAAGUGAUGGGACUAAGUACGAUGGUUUCUUUUAACAGUUCCAGAACAUCUCUGGCUCUUGAAGAUGAUGGGCAGGGGCUUGGAGGUCUCCCAGGUAGCAAAGGAAUUUUAUGUCCAUUAAACUUUCUAUUAUGUACAGCUUUCCUGCUCACAGAUCUUAUCACUAACUAGUUUAAGUAAAUCCAAGAAGUCUGGAAAAUGAAGCCAUUUGGAAGCAACUCUUUAUUGGAAUAACCCAGCAAUGGAAGAUCCAGGAAGUGACAUGUCCUUCAUGGCCUUGUCCCCAUCCUCCUGCAUGGACCCAGAAGCCCAAUGCUUUGCUAAAGCUGGUAAAAAGGAACCAAAUCACCUGUGCGAUGGAUUUGGUCCCCUUCAACCAGCUGUAGCUGUGCAUUAAUUGCGCCGAUGCGACUAAGAGGAUGUUGUAUUCUGGGUAGCCUGAGUAUAAAGAGAAGUGGGGACCAACUUGGAGGAUAAUCAUCCAGGAGAGGCAUCACAGCAGCUCCAGUGAAACUGAAUCCUCUCGGACUGCAAAUGCAUUCCAUAUAGACAGAUUCACACUCCCCAGCAUGGCCCAGAUAGCCUUCCUUCCCCUCACCUGCCUUCAAGAUGGACUAUUCUGCAUCCUUUCUGAUUCAUCUCCACUGGAAUUCAAGAUUAUAUUUCUGAGAACCAGAACUUGCUUGUAUUUUUUUUUUUUAGCCAAUUAGUCUCUCAACAAGCAUUUGUUAAAUACCUGCUAUUUUCUAGACUGUGUGCUAGGUUCUGAGAAUAGAAAGAUAAAAUGAAAGACUUAACCUUCAAAUGUGCUUAUAUUCUAUUGGAGGAGACAACAUGUAUGCUAUAGGUAUAUAUAAAAUGCAUAUAAAAUACAAGGUAAUUAGGGGAUAGGGAUCACUAGCUGCUAGGGAAUCAAGAGAAACUUCAUUAGGUAGAAGCAUUUGUGCUGUACUUUGGAAGAAAGUAGGGAAUCUAAAAAGUAGAGAUGAUGAAUGAGUAAUAUUCUAGGCACACAGGAGACUGCAGGCUUUAAACAAGAGACAUCUAGAUUAGGAGAUAAGGUAUGAAUUCAUUUCUACCCUCACCCACAAAUGGAAGCUAGCAAGAAUGAAUGUAAAAUGGAUGGAUGAGCUACCCAUAGAAGGUUUCUCCUCUUCCACCCCACUAGCCAAGUCCAGCCAAGAGAAGGCUUAGGAUUGGAGCACUAAUGAGACUUGUCUUUGCAUCCGAAUUUCCAUCAGAUACUGGGUAAGCUAAAUUUAACUAUGGCUUGGGUGAAUGACAAAUGCCAGUAGAAGAGAGGUGUCCACAAGGAGUCUGGGAAAAGGAGCUGAUUAGCAAACGAUUGUCUGAGUUUCUCUAGUUCUGUCCAAAGGCAUCACCUGUGUUUAUCCAAGGCAGGUAUUCCAUUUCUAGAAAGAAGCACUCUCCACAGGGAUGCUCAUUUCCCUAUGUCAUAUAUAGAAGUAUACUCUACAACAGCAAAGGAAAAAUUAUCAUUUUUUUCUCUUCCAUACAUAUAUUUCUCACUACAGUUUGGUAAGGAAUCCUUCAUUCCCACCUGGACCAUGGAGAGGGUUAGUCUAUGAAUAAAAUCCCUUAGAGACCUGUGGAAA